AUGCGCGCUCCGCGUGAGGUCAGUGUUGAGUGUCAUCGCGCGCCUGUUUCGUUUACGCUGCUUCACAGGCGGUAUGUGAACAAUCGGAACAAUCAAUCGGCGUGCAUUUAUUGUGGCUCCUACGGCGUGAACUUUGAUUACGCGCCCCUUGGAACGUCGCCCACGUUGCGUCAAUAAUAAAACCGAAGGUGCUGAAUCGUCGCCGUGCGCGAGUGAAUGUGUGUGUGACAAUUGAAUAUCGCAACACUCUCGAGGAUUACGAGUGCACAAAAUCAGAAAAAGGAUUACUUUAGGGUUGAUUGUGGUGUUUAACGAUGAAAUGUCCAACAUGUGCUUGCUUAAGUUGGCAGUUGUUUCGCCUGUCAGAAAGUAAAUAAACUACGAAACAAUUGAAUUCCUAACUGUGAGACAGACAGUGAUGGUCGUUCAUCGUAUGCAAGGCCGAACGAAUGCUGCAUGUAAUAAAUCCAUGACACGAAAUGCUGCGCCAGGCGGUUACAAUUUGGCGGAUUAAUUGUAUGAGUCAUUGACACACCAUUACCCAACCAUAAAACCCGGCGUCGGCCGAAGAAGGCAAAAAUAUCGCCGAAAACCUUCACUUUCCUUGUGUGUUGUGUUGAUUUAAACAAGAAUCUGAUUGGCGGAUGCACGUGGGGAAGGUUCGGAGUUUUGGCGCAGUGAUUUUAGGAUCACUGACGCCUUUAGAUUCAAGCUGGCAGCCCAGAAGGAGGCGAGUGGCGCCCGGCGCGCGCUCCCCUCACUAGCACUCUCGUCUGCCGCCUCCAGUUCGAAAAAGUCACCCAAAACAGGCGUCGAGACGCGACAUCAAGAAACUAUCACAGUGGAAGUUAAACAGGUGGGAUGGCAGGUACAUCAAUAGGCUAUUUCUUCCUCACAUACUGUUUGCUUACUCACACAUACUCUGUUAAUAUUUCUCACUUGUAUUGUGUGUAUUCGCGUGUGUCGUUACAACUUCCUUAAUUAAUUAGUUAUGGCAACUUUUUGAUUGGUGGUUGGGUCGCGCACACGCCCCACUUACACAUUCGGUUGUUGUUUGUUACGUUAUUGAGCACAGGACGCACGUGCGCUCUUUUUCGAUGUCUUGUUUUAUAUUGUAUUGUCUUGAGUGUGUGUUUUUAGUGCACCUUCUUCUUGUUCUUCAUUCGCAGUUUCACUUUGCGCGUGAUCGGCCUGAAUUUCGCGACGCAAUAUAUGUUUUUGAUAAUAGUUGUGAUUAAUCUAUAUUUAUUUGUGAUUAAAUUAAGUGUAGUGCAUUUUGUCAGGAGGAUUAUUUUAUUAUGUCUGAUGUGAGUUUAAUGGUAAUUCAAGGAUGGAAUUUUUAGUGCGUGGACAGUUUUUGCGAUAAUUUCGGAAUGAAACCGGGUCGCAUUAAAUUUUAGAAUUUGUAUGUUCCGCCAUGUUAAUAAGGAAGGUUGGCGUAUUUUAUGUGGAGGUAUACAGUAAUAUUUUUACUGCUUUGUUUUGAUGAGGAUAAAUUGUGCAAAAAGGUGUCAACGAUCGAAAAUUUUGUAUUGUAAACUCAAAACAGGAAAAAGUAUUGUGGAAACAUAAAAUGGUAUAAACCUACAUACAUAAAUUAAAAUCGGGCCGAGUCGAGUAACAAUAACAGGGAUAUAAAUAGACCUGUAGACGACUUUUUGUAAAUAGGUUAAAGGAGCGGUGUAAGUUUCAAUGUUGAGGAAUAAUAUUGGGUGAGUGU